GUUGGGUUAAGUCCCGUAACGAGCGCAACCCUUGUCCUUAGUUACCAGCACGUUAUGGUGGGCACUCUAAGGAGACUGCCGGUGACAAACCGGAGGAAGGUGGGGAUGACGUCAAGUCAUCAUGGCCCUUACGGCCUGGGCUACACACGUGCUACAAUGGUCGGUACAGAGGGUUGCCAAGCCGCGAGGUGGAGCUAAUCUCACAAAACCGAUCGUAGUCCGGAUCGCAGUUUGCAACUCGACUGCGUGAAGUCGGAAUCGCUAGUAAU
rnacentral:rRNA from 1 species